GCAAAGAAGUGAAAAUUUUGUAAAAGAGUGCAAAUUAGUGAAAAAAAAGUCUAUUUUCAUACCAAAAGAGCUCUUGAUGGUUUCCGUGACACGCCUGCUGAUCCUUGUGUGCUGUCGGUGUUAUUUGCCCAUCACAACGCUUCAUCGUCAUUGCAGAAACCGCAGAAUUUUCCCCUGUAAUCGACGGCCGGAUUUGGAUCGAAUGGAAGAUGCUAUCUUCGGGUAAUCAACGCAAAGCCAGAUCAGAUCCCCACCGCGGAAAAUGGCAAUGAAAUAUACCUUCGGAUUUGCCUUUCCAUUUGGACCAAUCGAAAACUUCACUCAAAGAUUUUGCAAGAACCUGUACCCCAUUGGACAAGUGAAAGGAAAGCAAUGGCACGACAUGACCAGACCAUUUGCAAUCCGGAUACAUAUGGAAACGAGUGUGAAACUUCCAACAGGAAAAAUAGUGUCAGCAAUAACACCAUGAACGCUAGUGUGUCAUUAGAAUCGAUGGCAAUAUAAAUACAAUUUUUAUAUUUUAAA